rnacentral:rRNA from 1 species
CCUACGGGUGGCUGCAGUGGGGAAUAUUGGACAAUGGGGGGAACCCUGAUCCAGCCAUGCCGCGUGUGUGAAGAAGGCCCUCGGGUUGUAAAGCACUUUCAGUGAGGAAGAACGCCUGGUGGUUAAUACCCAUCAGGAAAGACAUCACUCACAGAAGAAGCACCGGCUAACUCCGUGCCAGCAGCCGCGGUAAUACGGAGGGUGCGAGCGUUAAUCGGAAUUACUGGGCGUAAAGCGCGCGUAGGUGGCUUGAUAAGCCGGUUGUGAAAGCCCCGGGCUCAACCUGGGAACGGCAUCCGGAACGGUGGCACUAGAGAGCAGGAGGGGGAGGUAGAAGUCGCGGGGUAGCGGUGAAACGCGGAGGAGGAGAGAGGAAAGCGAGUGGCGAAGGGGGACUACUGGACUGAAACUGACGCUGAGGUGCGAAAGCGUGGGUAGCCGACAGGAUUAGAGACCCUAGGAGGA